AGCAGCCGCGGUAAUUCCAGCUCCAAUAGCGUAUAUUAAAGUUGCUGCAGUUAAAAAGCUCGUAGUUGAAUUUCGGGACUAAUAUGUCGGUCGUGCCUCGGUACGUACUGGCUUAUUGGUUUCUCCUUUCUGAAGAACCAUGAUGUCAUUUAUUUGGUGUCGUGGGGAAUCAGGACUGUUACUUUGAAAAAAUUAGAGUGUUUAAAGCAGGCUCACGCUUGAAUACAUUAGCAUGGAAUAAUGAAAUAGGACGUUUGAUUCUAUUUUGUUGGUUUCUAGGAUCGACGUAAUGAUUAAUAGGGAUAGUUGGGGGCAUUAGUAUUCAAUUGUCAGAGGUGAAAUUCUUGGAUUUAUUGAAGACUAACUACUGCGAAAGCAUUUGCCAAGGAUGUUUUCAUUAAUCAAGAACGAAAGUUAGGGGAUCGAAGACGAUCAGAUACCGUCGUAGUCUUAACCAUAAACUAUGCCGACUAGGGAUCGGAUGAUGUUAAUUUU
rnacentral:misc_RNA from 1 species